rnacentral:miRNA from 1 species
AACGGCUGUUUGCCACAGUGAGC